AUGCCAUGGUGAGGGAAUUGCUUAAGUAACUCCUUGAACCGUUCCCAAGCUUCAAAUAGGAAUUCUUCAUCUCCUUGCCUAAAUGAUGUGAUUGUUAGAACAAGAUU